CAAGAAACCCAUGCCAGAUCUAUCGUCAGAUCUAUCACCAGAUCCGUUUCAUGAGCAGAUCUUUGAUGAUUCCACCGCCUAUUCCCCUCCGCCUUGUUACGUUGCUUCAAUCGCGGCUUCUCCUUCAUUCCAGGCAAUCUAGGGUUUUGUAAGUGGAGAUUCUGGCGAUAUAGGGCUUAAACAAGCUAGGGUUUUGAUGUCGAAGGCACCAAGGGAUCCACAGAUUUGAACAAGGGAUCCACAGAUUUGCUGGAGAAUGGCCGGAAUCAGGUGACUGUAUGUCCAUGAAUC